UUGUUUUUAAUUAAAAUGAUUUUUCGUGAAAAACGACGCUGUACGCAACUGUGUUUUAGAUGGACUGAUUAUGGUGCACAUAUACACGGUUUCCCCCUUCCUGAGAGACGGUCAGUGAUGUUCAGAAAAUGUGUGCCAAUCAUUGGAAUUAUAGAGCCAUAAACUGAUGUGUCUGAAAUUAGUAGGUGGGUCCAUGUGUGUAUAUGUAAAAAUAUAUAUUAUUUAUUUGUAAUUUUUUAUUGUAAAGAAAAAUUUGCUUGCCUAUGUUGUAAGAGAAUAUGUUCAGAGUGUUUAAACUCGCAAAUUACUACAAACUGCCAGUUGCCAGCUUGCAUGUGACUGAAAAUAUUUUGGGGUUUGGUUUUAAUUACAGGGUAUGCAUUCUUUUGUGACCGCUCUAUACUAUUUAUUACCGUAAAUGUAAUUUUCAAAUAUAUA